UACGAAGGGGGCUAGCGUUGCUCGGAAUUACUGGGCGUAAAGCGCACGUAGGCGGCUUCUUAAGUCGGUGGUGAAAUCCUGGAGCUCAACUCCAGAACUGCCUUCGAUACUGGGAAGCUCGAGUCCGGGAGAGGUGAGUGGAACUGCGAGUGUAGAGGUGAAAUUCGUAGAUAUUAGGAAGAACACCAGUGGCGAAGGCGGCUCACUGGCCCGGUACUGACGCUGAGGCGCGAAAGCGUGGGGAGCAAACAGG
rnacentral:rRNA from 1 species